AUCUGUAGUCCCAGCUACUCAAGAGGCUGAGGUGGGAGAAUUGAUUGAGCCCACGAGUUCAAGGUUGCGGUUAGUUGUGAUCACACCACUGCACUCCUGGCUGGGCAGCAGAGCAAGACUCUGUCUCAAAAACAAACAAACAAACAAACAAACUGAAGAAAAGUGCUGAAAUGCAAUUCAUCCUUCAGAGACGGUUAAGAAAUGACUCAAUCCAUGAGGCCUGUCCCAACCCCAAAAAGAAAGAAUCUCUUCCUGCUCUAUGCUCUCACAUGUUGAAAAUAAAUGCCUUUGAAAAAUUAGAAGAACUUGCUAAAAGGAAAUAAAUUCAUUAAGGUGAUGGGAAACUAGCACUUAAAGAAAUGUUGAAGGCAAUUCAACUACUUUUGCCUGGACAAAAGAAUAGAAAGAAAUUAGUUUAAACCUAGAUGUAUCUGAUUUAUAUUCCCACUCUGUGAAUUCAGCAUGUUGAAUUUAUAAUACAAAGCUUCCUGUACUUACUGUAGGCCCCACCCAGGAGCUGUACAUGUAGGGAAUAUAUGCUCAUUUCAAUAUCAGCCCAAGCAAAUAUAAUCAGGAAGACUGCUUGAAAUCAUACAAUGGCUUUUCGAGUCAAAUAU
rnacentral:lncRNA from 1 species